CUGAAUUGCAAAUAUAUACAUAAUAUAUUUUUAAUAUAAAUAUAUAUCUGUGGUAUUUAUAUAUAUAUAUUAACAGCUUUUUCAAUUGCUUUGUACUGUGAACAUAAUUUAUUAUUUGCUAGCCUUAUUUGUUAAGUCAGAGGAAAUUUCAGAGCCAUGAGGGUUACAGAAUGAGAGGAUUUCUAAUGAGCUCAAUGUGUUCUAAAUGGUUUUAUGUGAUUCCCAGGUUUGCUUCAUCAGAAUCCAUAGGUUCUCAAGUGGCGCUCCUCCUUGUGCUCGCAGAACCCCGCUUAUUGACUCUACAGAUACUUUUUGCAGAAAAUGGCUGCCUCUUUGCUGUCUACUGUGACUCUUCAACUAGGAAAGAACCAAAUAGAUUUAACCUACUCAACUCGACACUUCUGAACAAAAAAGAAUGCAGAAUAUAUAGCACCAACCAGGCGACCUGGAAGCAUACUUCUGGUAGCAAUGGGGACACGGGUCAAAG
rnacentral:lncRNA from 1 species